UUCAAAUUAACCAAUCUCUGCCCUUUAUCCACCCAUGCCUGAGGGGGGGGCGGGGGUGUAGGCAUGGUUAAAAAUGCAAUGACAAGCAACUCCUGCUGGUCUUCCUUGCAUCAUUCUUCAUAGAAUUGGACCCUAUACAACAUGGGUCCUCAAACUCCAGCCUCCUAGAUGUUGCUGAACUACAACUCCCAUGAUUCUCUG